AAAGGGAGUGGGGGGUAGAUCUGUUGAGCAGAGCCAGGCGCAGCCGGAGGGGAGGAGAGGUUGAUCUGUUUAGUGUCCAUCUCCUGCCAGCUUUCACUGGUCAUUAAAAGUAAGCUGUUAUCAGACCGUGCAGGGAGGACUACCCAAACAGCCGGCACAGUGCUGCGUCUUCAGCAGGUGGAGAGGUUCUUCUCUGGGGUGGGUGAUCCCGGACACAAAAGGAUUUUGGAUCCCAUGGCUUGUCCCGCUUUCAAGGCGCAAGGUGUCCGAUGUGGCCUGCGGUACCUGACACGUGAUUGCACUCACUUUAGGCAGCAGCGUGAACGACGGAGAUUGCGUUGAUGCAGAAAGUGACACCGAUUUUGGAGACCGCGUCAGCAAUUCCCCGUUGCCAGAGAAAGAUGAAGCAGCAGCCGAGAGCAUGAGAAGAGGCGAUAGUUGUGGCAGGGCAACUCACAUCUGCUUCACCGCGACAACGUGCUUCUUCACAAUGCACUGAGCAUCUGACAGUUCUUGGCCAGAAAGAACCAACUCCCCUCAUGGCCGCCAAGUGCAACGGGUCCAUCAAGAGAAUCCUUUGGAUCGACAAAGCGUAUGUGUUGUCCUUGUGGGCUUACUUCAAAACUUUGCCGUUCCGAUUUAAAAGAUAUCUUUUGUAACGCGAGUCCUGGAACUUUUCCGACACGAAAGUAUCACCUUUUAAAGCAUCAAAGUGUUGAUGAUGUUCUCUUCAAGGACCUCUAAACUGCGGCGCUCACCCAGGCUCCCGCACCCCCUCGUCUCUCUGUCAUUCAGGUGUUUACUGUCAUUUAUACUCAGGGUUUUGUAUAAUCCUCUCACCACACCUGAGUGCUCCCCACUUCAGUGUCACUGGAUUUACUCUCUCCGCCCGUCUCCCUCUGUCUCGUUUCGCCUCUGCUCCGGUGCGCAUCUUCCCCCCCCUCAUUUGGCUUCACAGCCAUUCUUAUGCACGCGUUGUCAUUUUCUUAUGUAAAUAACCACGCAUAAAAAGGACACUCGACAGACAUUUCAAAAUUUCCACAGCGCGGGCUCUGCGCGUAUGUUUUCAGUCAUCCCUCUUCAUCAGCAAGCUUGUCUGCGCAAGUGUAUUCGCCCGGAGCUGUAAAUGAGAGGUUGUGAUUUAACUCAUUGAGACAAAAGACAAAGACAACGAAAUAUUAAUCAAACAAAUGAUUUGGAGAGGGUGAAGAAGAACAAGCGAAAGGGAGAUGAGUGCAGGGGAGGGCGAACCAAAGGCGGAAAUGGGCCAGUAUGUAUUUCUGUUCUACUUUCACUCGUCGGAGGCUUCAUUAAGAAGUCUGUUUCCAGUGCAUCUUGCGCUUGUGCGUGAACGUGCAGAGUUAGCGAUUGAGAUUUGUGGCGGUGCAUGUGCACAAAUAUGCAAAUACAUACGUAUGCAGGAUGGUAAAAUUAUUGGUGUGUUCUAGAAGCAGCCCUUUAAUUAUUUACGCCCAAAGCCCUCUAAUUGGGAUCAAGAUUUCUAAAUGGGGUCAUUUAUUGCGACGCCGUGGCAUGAACUUUUUCCAAGCCGAUGGACGCCAGGCAAACACUUGGAUUCUUCAGAAGAAAAAAAAACGAUUGAGUUGCUAUGGUAUUGCUGCCAAUGCAUCCGUGUUGCGUAGACAUCGUGCAUAUGUUCUCUUUGAGAGCUCAUGAGUCAGUCACUCGCAAAGCCGAUAGCGAUGUACAGAGACGGUUUGAGAUUAAGCUCAAGAACAAGACCGAUUACAGUUUUAAUGUGCGCUAAUUAAGGCAACUUAAUCAGCGAUAUAUCGUCAACUUUGCACUUUCGGAUAUGUACAGUAAAUCAUGUCAUGCAUUGCAUAUGCAUUAUGUCGAUGUGAAUGCCCAUGCAUUCAUAUAUGUAGUUAUUUCGAUUCCUGAACAAUACAACCCCCCCCCCCCCCCACCUUACACACACACACACAAAUUGUGACACUUGAGCAAAAGGGGAAUCGCCCCUUCCCCUUUGGUGUGUUUCAAAGGGAUUGUGUACACCUAGAGGUGGUAUUCAAUCACUUGGAUAGGAUUAAAUAAACGGCACGCUAUGAACUAUUUGGCAGGCUUGAGGUAUGACUUCAACUGUGCCGCUAACGAUUUUCGAGGACAUAAAAUCAACUAACAGUAACAGGAGAAGACAGAAUAGUCGAAAGCUGGCCACAGUUGGUCUUUCAGAUCAAGAUUAUUUUCAGUGUCGUCGUCAAGAUAUCCCGCAGAGAAUGUUUGAAUGUUCACUCGUACAGCAUGUGACUGUUUUCAUCUAAAUCCAGCAAACCCAACCAAGCGGCGUCGCGCUAUGAAGUCUGCUGUCACAUUGAUUUACUCCUUUUCUGCUUUCUGUAUGUCUUUGUCUCUUCAGGAAAAGAGAAAAAAAAAAUAGUCUGUCGACGUCGGUCCAAAAAUCUGGAAGCGAUAACCCAACUUUGUCCCAAGUUGUCAUGAGCGCCAUUCUCCAGCCCAAACCGAGACCUCCUGGGAGACGUGCGGGUUCUGCAGAUGGGAAUGCGUCCUCUUGUCACGCUUUGCGUGUGAGAUUACACUCUGGCCUCGAAUCUCCACCUUCCUUUCAGCUUUGCCCAACGCGCAGAACUUUGUCUUGCGACGGCCCCAAAGAAUCGAUGAGUCGUAUUAAAAUCAAUUCUCCGUUUCCAACAAUGCCAAAACGUAAUGAAGUCUUCUAUGGGUGCUUAUUGUGUGGAGCUAACUGCGUUCUCGACAAAAGCCUGACGAUUUCGCCCUGUGGGCAAUCACCAAGCCACAGCGGCGAGGACAUACUCUCUUCUAACAAGAAAAAAAAAAGGAAAAAAAAAAAACCUUGAACAGAACCAGAUUCAGCGAAGGCAGCCAUCCAGUAGUCAAGCUGGAAAAAAUAUCAUGUUUUAACUUUGAAGCUUCACAGUAUGUCAAAUUGCAUGCGCUAUUUGAAAUCAAGAUAUACAGCCCGCGUUCCAAUAACCGUCUCAACAGCACCACCGGUACAGAAGCCGCUCGGAUAAUAUUAGCGAUUCGCGCACUAAAAUGACAAAAUGGGGGACGGCAACCCGGAAAAAGAAUUACCCGGCUCCUGCUGAUGUGGCAAAUGGCGCACGGCGCUUAUGACCGACAUCCCAGUCAUGACUGGUGACCUCUGACCUCAUCAAAAACAGACUUCAAGCUGUCUGCGGGAGCCGCCCGGUGUGAAACUGACCACACUUGAGAUGACUGAUUUCGCCCUCCUUUCAAUUGAAGUGCGCUGAUGACAUUGUCAUGAUGCUUACAGUUUGCUGUUUACGAAAAAAACAUGUGCAAGCCCCCGAUCACAGACCCCCCCCCCCCCCCCCCGCCUCCCUCCAGAUCUUGGCCAGUUGUAAGACAUUUCACGGUGGAGUGCUUUCAAGGCCGCACAUCUCCGUGGCAGGAAUCACAUGCUCGUGCUACUACAGCUCUACUCAGGAAAUUGAUUUGUUUCAGGGAUAAGUCCAAGUAUGAUGAGGCUGUUCUAGGAAAAAUGUGAUUCUUAAAAAAAUAUGAUAAUAAAAUAGUAAUAAUAAAUCCUUGGAACACCACAGCAUUGGAAGUGAAGUUUUGAUUACCCCUAUUUGACCCAGUAGUUGUUUUUUUUGUUUUGUUUUGUUUUUGAAACCUAUAAUGCCUCAUUUCAGGGUCGUUUCAGCUCUGUUUUUCAUAAAUUUGUCUCCGCUAGUCCAAAGUAUGUCUUUGUGUAACAUAUUCUGCCCAGAACAGAAACAUCCUGUACAAUGGCUCCGAACUGUCAUUUAGCAGUAUGGUAUUUCCAAGCGCGUGAGCCUCCCACAAUUGGCGCAUGACUCAACAAAUAUAGAAAUAGUUCACCGGUUUUCAAUGUUGUUGAAUGCAACAAUCAACUUUCGUAUCGCAAUAAAGCUGCUGGUCGGUCUUGUGGUGAAUGUUCUUCUCAAGCCUGGGAUCCGUUUUAUUCACUUUUAGUUUUAGUCACAUUCAAUUGUGACAUUCAGUAUGUUAGAGCUCAUUUGUGCAAUCACUCAUUCAGUAAUUUUCUGUACAGUCGACCCCGCCCCCCCCCCAGCGUACGAACGCUCCAGUACUCGCUAAUUACAAUAUGUGCGGAGGAUAAUUUUUUUUUCAAUCUUUAAAAACAAUUAGGGCGUGUCUUUGUUUUUGACGUGAUUCCCUAUUGAAUGAAGAAUUUUGGUGGCUUAAUUUUUUUUUUUUGCCUCAAGCAACGCAUUUCACUGGCUAUAAAAUAUAGGUGGAUUUUUUUUGUUGUUGUUGUUAUUUGAUCCCUAUGAUGCCUCUGAUGCUUUUUGGCACCUGUCCAUGAGUCAAAAGCCCUCCUCAAAACUCACUUGUAUUCUUUGGCAUUCGACGCAGCAUGACUUGUUGAUUUGUUCUUGAUUUUACUGUUUGGUGCUUUCUACCGCCUUUAUUACCGAUUUGUCUUACUGUUUUUUGUGCAUGUUAAAUUG